rnacentral:tRNA from 1 species
GCCGGGAUGGCGGAGUCUGGCCGAACGCGGUAGAUUCGAAAUCUACUGACCUGUGAUGGGUCUCCAGGGUUCAAAUCCCUGUCCCGGCG